GCGCUCGUCGUUCCCCCUAUUCCCUUUCUAUUUUCUAGUCUUUUUCCUUUUCUGGAAAGCCCAGCCGUCCGCCUUUUCCCUUUCCCCUUUCCAUCCCCUCCUCCACUGCAGCUGCCCUGCUGCCCCCUCCUCGGCGAGGCGCCUCACGAGCGCCGCGAGGUCAGCACGGGAGCCGCGCCCGCACGAGCUCCGUGAGGGAGGUGGCCAGUACGGCGAGGCGCCGUGCCCGCAUGAGCGCCGUGAGGUCAAAGUGCAGCGGCGGCCAAUACGGGGAGGCGCAGCGACCGCUCGGGCUCCGCGAGGUCCAGGGGCGGAAGCAGCCAAUACGGCGAGCGGUGCCUGUCCGGCGACCAUACGACCUCCGCGGCGUGCUCGACCUUGCUCCUACACCUCCUACCCGGGCUGGACAUCCCCCCGUGCGUCGUCCCCACCCGCAUCACCAAGCUCCCCAACGGCGUCCGCGACUCCCCGUCGCCUCCGAGGAUUUCCAGGGAGCAGCACAGGGAUGGCGAUUUUGGUAGCUCUGCUCUGAUGAUGCCGUCAGAGCACAGCUUGCUCGUUUUCAGCAUGAGGAAGAAGAUGAUUUGACAGGGAGCAGCACAACUUGCUUGUUUUGUUUCUCUGUAGCAAGUUAUUCUAUAAAUACUGAACGCUAUGUAAGGAAAUCAGCAGCUGCCAUUGUUCAAGAAUCAAAAUAUUGUAUGAAUUAUGAACAUUUGUGCAAAGAAAUUGUUGCUCCUUUGGAUCGAUGCCCGGAGGCGGGACUGACUGACUCACUGAUGUUUCUUCAUCCACAACAAUGUUCAGAUUAACACCGAGGCUCCCUGCCGUUCACAGCGUCUUGCCAAGUACAAUACUACAACCAGGCAAGUAGCUCUUCUCGUAUGUGGUGCUGAAGCAAUGUCGGCUCCUUUUUUGGCCAAAACCUUCUUGCAAAUGAUUUAAUAAAUUAUUUAAUCCCAUGGUUCAUUAUUCCGUUUAGUGUAUGCUUACUUUUGGCACUACUAGUUCUGAUGUUGCUGGUGUCCUAGAUUUUUUGGUUGCAGUGAUGAGUUAUGUGCUCCAGCAAAUCGUUGCCGUAAUUCUGAAUUGUAGUAGUUCCUUCUGUUGUCGUUUUACAUGAUGUGUAUCAUCACUAUCAGUUAAGAAAUGAAUAUGUGAAAGCAGUACUUUUCAUAUCCAAACUCCAAAUACUA